GAUGAACGCUGGCGGCGUGCCUAAUACAUGCAAGUCGAGCGAACGGACGAGAAGCUUGCUCCUCUGAUGUUAGCGGCGGACGGGUGAGUAACACGUGGAUAACCUACCUAUAAGACUGGGAUAACUUCGGGAAACCGGAGCUAAUACCGGAUAAUAUUUUGAACCGCAUGGUUCAAUAGUGAAAGACGGUUUUGCUGUCACUUAUAGAUGGAUCCGCGCUGCAUUAGCUAGUUGGUAAGGUAACGGCUUACCAAGGCAACGAUGCGUAGCCGACCUGAGAGGGUGAUCGGCCACACUGGAACUGAGACACGGUCCAGACUCCUACGGGAGGCAGCAGUAGGGAAUCUUCCGCAAUGGGCGAAAGCCUGACGGAGCAACGCCGCGUGAGUGAUGAAGGUCUUCGGAUCGUAAAACUCUGUUAUUAGGGAAGAACAUAUGUGUAAGUAACUGUGCACAUCUUGACGGUACCUAAUCAGAAAGCCACGGCUAACUACGUG
rnacentral:rRNA from 1 species